GACGAACGCUGGCGGCGUGCUUAACACAUGCAAGUCGAACGGAAAGGCCCUGCUUUUGUGGGGUGCUCGAGUGGCGAACGGGUGAGUAACACGUGAGUAACCUGCCCUUGACUUUGGGAUAACUUCAGGAAACUGGGGCUAAUACCGGAUAGGAGCUCCUGCUGCAUGGUGGGGGUUGGAAAGUUUCGGCGGUUGGGGAUGGACUCGCGGCUUAUCAGCUUGUUGGUGGGGUAGUGGCUUACCAAGGCUUUGACGGGUAGCCGGCCUGAGAGGGUGACCGGCCACAUUGGGACUGAGAUACGGCCCAGCCUCCUACGGGAGGCAGCAGUGGGGAAUAUUGCACAAUGGGCGGAAGCCUGAUGCAGCCACGCCGCGUGCGGGAUGACGGCCUUCGGGUUGUAAACCGCUUUCGCAUGUGACUAAGCGUGAGUGACGGUAAUGGGUAAAGAAGCACCGGCUAACUACGUG
rnacentral:rRNA from 1 species